rnacentral:rRNA from 1 species
UACGGAGGGGGCUAGCGUUGUUCGGAAUUACUGGGCGUAAAGCGCACGUAGGCGGCCAGACAAGUCCGGUGUGAAAGUCACAGGCUCAACCUGUGAAUGCCGCUGGAAACUGUCUGGCUAGAGUCCGGAAGGGGCGAGUGGAAUUCCUGGUGUAGCGGUGAAAUGCUGUAGAGAUGUGGAGGAACACCGAUGGCGAAGGCAGCCCCCUGGUCAAG